AAUAUCUUUUUCCUCUCUCCCCUCUCUCACGCGUGCGACACCCCUCUCUCCAUCUUUUUCUUCUUCUCUUUCCUGUACCCUAACCCAGCCGACCAUCAUCUUCUCCCCUUCCCUUGCCGUUCAGAUCCAUGGCCUCCGCCCACCGCCGCGUGACCCUCUGCCCAGCCCCGCCGCGUGACCUCUGUCUCCGUCGAAGCCAAGUCCAGCCGUCGUCCAUUCCUUUCCUCUCUUCUUCUCCGUUCGUGAAGCCCAGUCGCCGCGUCAGAUCGUCGAUCGAUUUUGAGGCAGCGCGCACGCCUCCUUCUAGCCGCGCGUGUUUCCUCUUCUUCCAGCAACGUGUUUUUUCUUCUAACCGCGAUUCACAAACCGACGUACACUCUAAUCUGUUUGCACGAUGGUUUUUGUUUAGAAUCGAUUGCCGCUGCCCCUAUUUUUACUGAGAUCCGUCGAAGUAUUGUUGGUGUGAAAGGUAACCUUGGAUCACUUAAAUUCACAACCAAUUUGUGAAUUUUGAUUUCGGUUUGCCCUUAUUUGGAUUGUUUCGUGGACGAUAGUUGAUUAAGGGAGCUUCCCUAACUUUGAGGCAAAGGUAAUAAAGGCAGCAAACCGGCGAGGGGCAGGAAGGAAGCGUGACCGCCACAGGGGACACUUUAAAAUUUUGCUUCCGCUUAGUGAUUUAUAGUAUUAUUUGUAUUCGAACGUGAGACUGUUUAGAAAAUUUUGAAGUUUUAAAGUAUUCAAAGAUUUGAAACUUUUUAGUUUUAAA